UACGAAGGGGGCUAGCGUUGCUCGGAAUCACUGGGCGUAAAGGGUGCGUAGGCGGGUUUUUAAGUCAGGGGUGAAAUCCUGGAGCUCAACUCCAGAACUGCCUUUGAUACUGAAGAUCUUGAGUCCGGGAGAGGUGAGUGGAACUGCGAGUGUGGAGGUGAAAUUCGUAGAUAUUCGCAAGAACACCAGUGGCGAAGGCGGCUCACUGGCCCGGUACUGACGCUGAGGCACGAAAGCGUGGGGAGCAAACAGG
rnacentral:rRNA from 1 species